AUAUUUACUUGGCAGGGGGAAUAUCACUCUAGAGAAGGUGGUUUCCUCUGGAUAAGGCUCUUUCAUUGCAAACUUCAGCUGGGCUGACCCCUGUGAUUUCCCUAAAUGUGGUAAACAUAGCUGAAUAAUUUAUGGUGUGCUGCCUUUUAGCUCGGC